rnacentral:lncRNA from 1 species
GCUGGUUGGUUGGUUGGUUGGUUCGUUGGUUGGUUGGCUGGCGGGCAACGCGUAAUACGUAGACACUGUGUAUACAUAAGGCAGUACGUGGCUAGCGGCAUUAAGCUGUCCGCUUAAAGAAGCUCUAUGGCGAUGCUUAACAGUGCAUAAUGUUCGAAGAAUACUGACGGAUAUGAAAACAACUACGCAACAACUACACUGAGUGCUCACCGAAAUCAUUUUUAAAAUGAAUCAGAGGUCCAUGUGUCUACAAAUUCAACGACGAAAUUGUUAAUAAAAUAAAAACGAUAACAUUGGAAUAUUGACACUGGCUAAGGAGUGGGAUCACUCGGAGGAGGAAACGAAGUUCAUGAAAAAAUGAGAGACAAAAAGAAUAAGAUGAAGAAGAAGC